GGAGAGAUGGCAGAGUGGUUGAAUGCACCGGUCUUGAAAACCGGCAAAGGCGCAAGUCUUUCGUGAGUUCGAAUCUCACUCUCUCCGCCA
rnacentral:tRNA from 1 species